UACGUAGGGUGCGAGCGUUAAUCGGAAUUACUGGGCGUAAAGCGUGCGCAGGCGGUUUGCUAAGACCGAUGUGAAAUCCCCGGGCUUAACCUGGGAACUGCAUUGGUGACUGGCAGGCUAGAGUAUGGCAGAGGGGGGGUAGAAUUCCACGUGUAGCAGUGAAAUGCGUAGAGAUGUGGAGGAAUACCGAUGGCGAAGGCAGCCCCCUGGGCCAAUACUGACGCUCAUGCACGAAAGCGUGGGGAGCAACAGGAUUAGAAACCCGGAG
rnacentral:rRNA from 1 species